GCUCAGCCUGAGACUGAGAGUUCCGCCAAGAUCUGCCCACCGAUGUAGAUCCGACGGCGGGCUAAGCACCCAACUAUUUUUCCUGAAUAAUAACUGCGGUGGCCAAGCCGACGACUCGGUGCUUCUCCGCUCUCGAAUGAUCGGCGGCGGCGGACGCAGCAGGCGGCGCGGGCGUGCGUCGGCGACCCUGCCCUCGGGCCCUGCCGUGAGCCGCACUGAGAGCUCCGUCUCCUGCUGGUAUUGUGACUGCAAAAUUUAUGUCUUCAAUGACAUGAUAUUCAAUUUGGGGUGGAAACAUGCUAGAUACACCAGAGCAUGGUUUUCCUUAGGAGUUUAUUUCUCUCUUGUUGCUUUAGUUGGUAUAUCUUUGUUGCUAUUGUGGGAUCCAAUUGGUGCAUUAUAUUUUAGACGCGGAUCCAUUAGCGCCUGGUUACCAAAUAUACUGGCUCCCAGCUUCAGCGGAUCAAUAAUGGACACCUCAAUCAUCAUAGCAUCAACAAUCUUAUCUAUUGCUUUUCAUGAAUUUGGACAUGCUAUUGCAGCUGCAAGCGAGGGUGUACAGAUGGAAUAUGUUGCAAUAUUCAUGGCUGUACUUUUUCCUGGGGCAUUAGUUGCUCUGAACUAUGACCUGCUUGAGAAUCUACCCCUCUUUUCAAUGCUUCGGAUAUAUUGCGCGGGAAUUUGGCAUAAUGUUAUAGUAAGUUAUCCUGAUUUGCAUGAAUUAAUUUCAAAGUCUUGCCGCAAACAUCUAUUUUCAAUAUGUGUGGUAUGCCAUGCUAAAUUAUAGAGACCCUUGGUGCUCAGAUAAAAAGAAUCACAUGUAACUUGUAUUCUUGCUGCAAACAUCUAUUUUCAAUAUCUGUGGUAUGCCAUACUAAGUUGUAGUGACCCUUGGUGCUCAGAUAAAGAGAAGCACAUAUAUCUAGUAUUCUUGCAGUAACGAGGACAUCAAACAAGAACUAAGAACAAUUAGCUUUAUGUUGAUUGGCAUAAGAUACAAUUGGAUGCCUCAGUUAGACGAUUGCCCAACAGAUAUUGGAAAUUUAGUAUCCUACAGUGGGUAAUCAUGCACUAAUAUCCUCAUACUGGUAAUAAAUAGAUUUAUCCCUACAAAUUUGUUGUGGAAUAUAUCAGCGCGUAUAUGUCUAUAGUAAACCAUUGGGAAAAUUGUCCUUGACCGAGACAUCUGAUAGCUGAUAUUGAUCUUUACUAGGUUGUUUUACCAUACAUUUCUUGGUAUACUUUAUGAUUAACCAGGGCCUGAGAGAUAUGAAGUAUGAACCGGAUAACAAUAAUUGCUUGUAUAAUAAUGAUAGUUGACAGGUCAAGGUGUACUGGAUUGUAAGCUUCCUUUGGUCCAUGAGCAUUUAAGUAUAUGAUGAUACAGGUCAAGGUGUACUGGAUUGUAAGCUUUGUAACAACACUUCCAAUCUUAGAUGUGGCACCAUGGAGGUUUUUAAUUGUAUACUUGUAUACCUUACCAUAUUUUAGAAGUACCAUUUCUGCAAUAUUUUCAUAAGCCUCGUAAUGAUGUAGCUGUUAUGAUUUCAUGUUAAAUAGUUUUGUGCAGCAUGUGUGCUGAUGGCAUUAUUACUUCCUUUGGUCCUCUGUCCUCUCUACGUGAGUGGUGAUGGCCUUAUUGUCAUGGGAGUCUCACAAUCAUCUUCUCUGUCAAGGUCAUUGUCUGUUCAUGAUGUUAUCCUGUCUGUGGAUGGUCUGAACAUAAGAAAAACUGACGAUUGGAUGAAAAUGCUGGCUCAAGGCACUGUAGAGAAAACUAGUAGUCAUGAGUUUCUUGGUGGUUCUCAGAGCUAUGGUGUUACUAAUUCUGGCAAAGGUUAUUGUGUCCCCAACUCAUGGAUGGAUGCAAGCAAGAAUCUCUGGCAGAUAAAUGACAAGCUAUCUUGCCCAGAUGAACUGAUAGUGUUUGGGAAAUUUUCCUGUAAUGGCUCUGCGUAUUUUCCCGGGACUGACAAAGUAAGUGACAAGAAACAAACUGAGGACUUGUAUUGCUUGAUUGCAAAAGACGUAGUUAAACUAAAAAAAUGUGGAAAUGGAUGGCGGGGUACAGAAGAUGAUGACAGUAACUGUACCUGUUUGGAGGAGGAGUACUGCUUGGUACCUGUUCUUACCCCUGGGUUUUCAUGGAUAGAGAUCUCCUACACCAGGCCAUAUUCUUUGGAGUGUUUACAGAAAGAAGGAAAUUUAUCGUCAUCACAUGCUACAAAUGAUAACUUCGGUCCGAGUCCCUGUGGGGGAACUUUUGUUUAUGUUGGUGAUCUGUCAUCGACAGCAAGUUCUGUUAAGUUAUCCCCCUACAGGCCCCGAUGGGCAUUCUUCCUUCUUAUUGCAGAUGUUCCCUAUAUCUUGGAAAAUUGUUUAAGUUGUUUGCUUCAUGUGUCUGCGGCAUUGGCUGCCGUUAACUGCCUACCGGUAUACUUUCUAGAUGGGGACGCGAUUUUGGAGACUGCCUUACGCUACGUUGCUUGGUUUAACCGGAGACAGCAGCGGGUGAUUAUUAAGGUCUGCCGCUUUCUGUGGACCGUCCUAUCCAUCAUCAUGUUCUCAAGGUUCUUAUAUUCCGUGACAGUAUAUUAUGGCUAAUGUACAACUCCGUAUCAUGGGGUUCUCUCUAAAUUAUCCUUGCAAGAAUUCAGUAACAUAGUACCAGUCAGCUGUAUGAGAGAUAUCACAAAACUGGCCUGCAAGAUGCCUCGUUAUGAAACAAUGGCACUCUGACAUUGAUAAAAGUUGAUUCAAUAUGGCCCCUUAGAAGUAGUACAAGUACUUCACUACAUUCCAUGUGCAAAAUUUGGAUAAUUCCACGGCUUGUAGGAAUUUUGAAGACAAGGAAUAGAGUGGGUAUAUUAGGAGCUCAGUUCAAUACCCAUAACUGUCAAUCUUUAGUAGAGUAUAGGAUUUAGUGCAAUUUAUUGGAAAUAAAUAAAGUGAGACUAUUACUAGCACUCA
rnacentral:rRNA from 1 species